ACAUGUCUUUUUGAUUAUAAUUUAAAGUCGGGUCUGCUCAAUGAAUAAAAUUUAAAUAGCUGCAGUAUUUUAACUGUACAAAGGUAGCAUAAUCAAUAGUUUUUUAAUUGAAAGCUGGAAUGAAUGAUUUGAUAAAAUAAAUAUUGUCUCAAAUUUAAAAAAGUUAAAAUUUUAUUUUUAGUUAAAAAUCUUAGGUAAUUUUAAAAGACGAGAAGACCCUAUAGAUUUUUAUAAUUAGAGAUUUAAUUUAAUAAAUUUAAUAGAUUAAACAAUUUUUUUAAUUAUUUGGUUGGGGAAAUUAUUAAAUUAAUAAAAUUUUAAUUUAUAUAAAACAAAAAUUAUUGGAUUUUAGAUUUUAAAUAUUUAAAUUGAAAGAAUAAAAUACCUUAGGGAUAACAGCGUAAUUUUUUUAGAGAGACCAUAUUAAUAAAAAAGUUUGCGACCUCGAUGUUGAAUUAAGAUAAAAUUUUAUUGAAGGUGAUAAAUAUUUUUGGUCUGUUCGACCAUUAAAAUCUUACGU
rnacentral:rRNA from 1 species